AUUGAACGCUGGCGGCAGGCCUAACACAUGCAAGUCGAACGAGUGGCGGACGGGUGAGUAAUGUCUGGGAAACAGCUAGAUGGAGGGGGUUAACUACUGGAAACGGUGGAUAAUACCGCAAACCAUCGGAUGUGCCCAGAUGGGAUUAGCUAGUAGGUGGGGUAACGGCUAACCUAGGCGACGAUCCCUGGCUGGUCUGAGAGGAUGACCAGCCAAACGGGAACUGAGACACGUCCCAGACUCCUACGGUAGGCAGCAGUGGGGAAUAUUGCACAAUUGGCGAAGGCCUGAUGCAGCCCUGCCGCGUGUAUGAAGAAGGCCUUCGGGUUGUAAAGUACUUUCAGCGAGUAGGCGUUACUCGAAGAAGAAGCACCGGCUAACUCCGUGCCAGCAGCCGCGGUAAUAC
rnacentral:rRNA from 1 species